rnacentral:sRNA from 1 species
AGAAAAGUAGGUGCCGCCCCGCACAGGGGCGACGCUAGCAAACCGAUACGAAACCGCGGAUGCCAGCAAAAACCAAAAUCAAAACCAAAAAACAGCGACUG